rnacentral:rRNA from 1 species
AGGGUUCGAUUCUGGCUCAGGAUGAACGCUAGCUACAGGCUUAACACAUGCAAGUCGAGGGGCACAUGGUCUUAGCUUGCUAAGGCCGAUGGCGACCGGCGCACGGGUGAGUAACACGUAUCCAACCUGCCGUCUACUCUUGGACAGCCUUCUGAAAGGAAGAUUAAUACAAGAUGGCAUCAUGAGUUCACAUGUUCACAUGAUUAAAGGUAUUCCGGUAGACGAUGGGGAUGCGUUCCAUUAGAUAGUAGGCGGGGUAACGGCCCACCUAGUCUUCGAUGGAUAGGGGUUCUGAGAGGAAGGUCCCCCACAUUGGAACUGAGACACGGUCCAA